GGCACAGAAGAAUGGUUACACUGGACCAACGUUAGGACCCCGAGAAUCUCAACAUAAUCCUAGAAACUUUGAUGAACAAACAUUACACGCUGGACAAACGGUAAUUGGGUACAGUAUGGUUUCACAGGGGGAGCCAGCCAAAAGGGAAUGAACUUUGGAAAAGCACGGUCAAUCAACGACUGACGUUAUCAAUGAAUGUAUAGUCUAUUUCAAAGUAGUUAGGAUAGAUAUUUUUACAAUUCUCUUUUCAUACUGAACGAUAUUCACCGAGAGUACCAUGAUAAUUGUGAUACUUGCUUAACAUUUAAACCUGAAAACAUGCCGCUGACGGUCAGUAUUUUUCGUGCAAAAAGGAUUUGAUGAAAGUGAGAGUUUAUAUACUGCGUGCUAGAUUUAAGAGGUUUGAAAAUUUGGUUAAUAAAAUUUUUUAAUCAUGUAUUCAAAAGACUGUUUUCUGCGUCAUAUAACAUUGUAUCCACAAGCAUAUAAUAUACAUGUAGUAUUAAUAAAAGGUCAUUUUAUUCGCCAAGUAUGUUCAAAGCUUUACAGACCCACCCGACAACUAUAUUUUUGAAACUGUGACGUAAUUAUGGAAAAAAAAUAUCUUUCAGAUUUCAUUUUUAUAGCGAGAAAAAUUUUUAGUACAAGAAGUAUACAAAUACUCUUUGAUAGACAUAAAAAGAAUAUGUCUUGGUGGGUCUUAUAAAUUACUAUUUUGAUGUGACGUCAUCUUGUUUGUUUGUUUGUUUUUUGUUUGUUUUUUGUUUGUAUUAAUGAUGUUCGUUAGAUAUAAAAACACACUAUAAUCAAAUUAUUUCUGACAUUGUAUUUUUUGUUAAGAGCCUAAGGUUAAAUAGUAACAGAUAUAAUAAAUAAGUUGUUAUGAUGUAAUUCAUGGCAAAUAAGCCAUCUGUCACAGUUCAUAAAACAUAUAAAUAAAUAGAGGAUAUUCAAGUUUUUUUCUAUAAAUACAGGAUUUAUUUCACUGAGUGGUAUGAAAAUAAAUAUUUCAUGAGUGGCGGUAGCUGUGGUAUAAACUUGAAAUUUCUGUUUAUUAUAUACAUUUUUCAUUACAAUUUGAAAGCUUUCCUUCUAUUUUUUGUGUAUUGGCUGAAUUUAGAAUAAAGUAGUCCAGCAAGACACUAGUGAGAAUACAGAAAAUAUGUUUCACUGCAGUGAAACAUAUUUUUACAGUGAAAAUACAGAAAAUGAAAAUAUGCAUUUUAUUUCAUCAAUAUUUCAUUUAAAGCUAUAUAAUAAAGUAAAGAAGAUGUUUAUGUAAACUUCUGCCUGACACUAAAAUGGCGCGUGCUUUUAUAUUUUAUAAGUACAUCGUGGUAUUUAAUACUGAAUCUAUACAAACGUCAUAUUGCCCUUUGGUAAAAAUGAGGUAGUCCUGUUUUAUAUUUUUGGUUAAAUAAAUUCAUCUAACAUUUUCAAUCAUGUAACUCUCACUAAACUAAAAGGCCCAAAGCUACGAUAUUUGUUUUUCAGCAUUGCCUAGAAAACAUCUGUAAACUAUUUUUGAUCGCGCUUUUGUGGUCAAAAUGGUCUCCUCAUUUUAUGAAUGCAUAAUUUUCUAUCUUCUUUCCUGCUUAUGACUGGUGGGCGAUACAGGCCAACUUGGGCCUCUUGUUUAUUUUACAAUUUUUGUUUGCUGUUCACAAAUUGAAAUAGGUCAGGUGGCGAGUCUUCAGGUGUAACAUCCGAUGGAUGUGACAGGUGUUGAUGUCACGUUGAGGUUAUGUAACAUAUUGUAAUCUAACAGACUUCAACGAUGUACGCGCGUUUUGGCUUUAAUAACGCUUGAUUUAUGAUCUGACAGUUGAUACAUUUUCAUUAUUUCUUUUCCAGAUAUAAACAACCAAUCGGGUCAAAAUGUUAUUUAUGUUUUCAAAAAUAUCUGUUAUAUCUCUGAGGGAAAUGGCGAAAAAAUGAUUAAUUAGCUUAGGAUUAUAUUUCUUUUCUUAUUAACAGUAACAAUAAGUCAUUUAAAGGGAGUAUUAAAGGUUAUUUUUUUUUUAUAUUUCAAUUUCAUAUAUCAUUCUCCAAGGACGAAAAAGUGCCAGAACCUAUCCUUGGAGAUGUGUUGACCGUUUUAUCACAUUUUCUUUUAUCUACUACCGCGUGAUAAAAGUUUUAUAAGUUUUUUUACAUUGUCACUUUGUUGUUUUGUUGUUGUUUUUUUGUGCUCUUUGUUAAAAUUGUGUCAUUUAGCACGUAUUUUUGUGUUGUUUAAAUAAAAAGUUGGCUUUUUUAAAUAAAUUUGUUGAGAUAUAAAUUAUUACUUGUAAUUAUAUGCUAAUUAUUUGUAAUAAUAUGGAAAUUACUUGUUAAUAAUAUGCAAAUUACUUGUAAUAAUAUGCAAAUUACUUGUCACAUUUCUUGUAAUUGUAAACAAAUUAUUGUUUCAUAAUAAUUAUUUGAGAUUGUUGGUUAUUCUUUGCAUAUUACUUGUAAUAUUAAAGCCUCAUGUAAUUUAUGCAAUUUACAUGUGGGCAGUUUUUGCACAUUACAUAAUUGAAUAUGCAAAUUGCUUGAUAUUUAAAGCAAAAACUGUAUCUAAUGCAUAUACAUGUAAUUUGUGGUUAUUAUAUGUAAAAUACUUCUUGAUAUAUAACAAACUGCUGAUUCGAAACCAUUUGUCAAUUUAGUGAAUUAAUAUGCACUUUUGAUACAAGUCACGUAAUUUUUUAAGGAAUAUAUUUUUUUGUAAGUUGUAACAAAAUUGCUGGUCUCUUUGACCGACUGGUUAAGAUCGUUGACUUCAAAUCUUUUUGUCCAUAACCGCUAUGGGAUCACAUCCCGUCAAGGGGUUUUGAAUUCUUUCAUGCGAGAAAAAGCUUUCCUACUUGCUUACGAGAGGUCGGACGCUUUAGUCAGGUGCCCGCUUGUGCAUGAAAUGGCACUUGAGGUUCUCCGCCAAUGCAUCUGGAAAGUCACCACGUGAUCUUAACAACGUCAGUGCAUCAUGAAACCCUACAAAUUAUUGAAAUAAAAUAAAAAAUGUUAAAAAAUAAUAAUUCCUUUAAAAAAUUGAUAAAUGAGCCAAUUAUUUUAUUUGUUUUGUAAAAGAGAAGUCAAAGUAAUCUCGAUGUUUAUAGAUCUGUAAAAUAGAUUAAAACAUUUAAAAUA